GGCUCAGAACGAACGCUGGCGGCAGGCUUAACACAUGCAAGUCGAGCGCCCCGCAAGGGGAGCGGCAGACGGGUGAGUAACGCGUGGGAAUCUACCCUUUUCUACGGAAUAACGCAGGGAAACUUGUGCUAAUACCGUAUGUGUCCUUCGGGAGAAAGAUUUAUCGGGAAAGGAUGAGCCCGCGUUGGAUUAGCUAGUUGGUGGGGUAAAGGCCUACCAAGGCGACGAUCCAUAGCUGGUCUGAGAGGAUGAUCAGCCACAUUGGGACUGAGACACGGCCCAAACUCCUACGGGAGGCAGCAGUGGGGAAUAUUGGACAAUGGGCGCAAGCCUGAUCCAGCCAUGCCGCGUGAGUGAUGAAGGCCCUAGGGUUGUAAAGCU
rnacentral:rRNA from 1 species